rnacentral:rRNA from 1 species
GACGAACGCUGGCGGCGUGCUUAACACAUGCAAGUCGAACGGAGUGGCGAACGGGUGAGUAACACGUGGGUAAUCUGCCUUGCACUUCGGGAUAAGCUUGGGAAACUGGAUCUAAUACCGGAUAGUGCAGGCCGAGCUCGCGGCCAAUCAGCUUGUUGGUGGGGUAAUGGCCUACCAAGGCGUCGACGGGUAGCCGGCCUGAGAGGGUGUACGGCCACAUUGGGACUGGGAUGCGGCCCCGACGCCUACGGGAGGCAGCAGUGGGGAAUAUUGCAAAAUGGGCGGAGGCCGGAUGCAGCGACGCCGGGUGGGGGAUGAAGGUCUUCGGGUUGGAAACUCCUUUCGACAGGGACGCGGUACCUGUAUAAGAAGCACAGGCUAACUACGUGCCAGCAGCCGCGGUAAUAC